rnacentral:rRNA from 1 species
UGCGCUACCAUGCAGUCGAGCGCACUCUUCGGAGUGAGCGGCGGACGGGUUAGUAACGCGUGGGAACGUGCCCUUCUCUAAGGAAUAGCCACUGGAAACGGUGAGUAAUACCUUAUACGCCCUUCGGGGGAAAGAUUUAUCGGAGAAGGAUCGGCCCGCGUUAGAUUAGAUAGUUGGUGGGGUAAUGGCCUACCAAGUCUACGAUCUAUAGCUGGUUUUAGAGGAUGAUCAGCAACACUGGGACUGAGACACGGCCCAGACUCCUACGGGAGGCAGCAGUGGGGAAUCUUGGACAAUGGGCGCAAGCCUGAUCCAGCCAUGCCGCGUGAGUGAUGAAGGCCUUAGGGUCGUAAAGCUCUUUCGCCAGAGAUGAUAAUGACAGUAUCUGGUAAAGAAACCCCGGCUAACUCCGUGCCAGCAGCCGCGGUAAUACGGAGGGGGUUAGCGUUGUUCGGAAUUACUGGGCGUAAAGCGCACGUAGGCGGAUCAGAAAGUAUAGGGUGAAAUCCCAGGGCUCAACCCUGGAACUGCCUUGUAAACUCCUGGUCUUGAGUUCGAGAGAGGUGAGUGGAAUUCCGAGUGUAGAGGUGAAAUUCGUAGAUAUUCGGAGGAACACCAGUGGCGAAGGCGGCUCACUGGCUCGAUACUGACGCUGAGGUGCGAAAGUGUGGGGAGCAAACAGGAUUAGAUACCCUGGUAGUCCAC